UCGAGCGGUAUCGACAAUUUUGGAACAGUUCAUGUUCAUGUCCUCCUCUCCAUCCUUGUCUCCUGGUCCGUUGUCUUUCUGUGUCUGAUGAAAGGUGUGAAGUCUGUUGGAAAGGUUGUGUACGUGACUGCCCUUCUUCCCUACGUUCUCCUAACGGUGCUGCUGGUCAGGUCGUGCAUGAUGCCGGGUGCUGGGGAGGGUAUACUGUAUUUCCUACGUCCUGACUUCUCUCGGCUCGGCAAUGUACAGGUUUGGCUGGAAGCUUUGCUACAAGGGUUUUAUUCUAUGAGUGCAACAUACAGAGG